UACGUAGGGUGCAAGCGUUGUCCGGAAUUAUUGGGCGUAAAGAGCUCGUAGGCGGUCUGUCACGUCGGAUGUGAAAACUCGGGGCUCAACCCCGAGCCUGCAUACGAUACGGGCAGACUUGAGUUCGGCAGGGGAGACUGGAAUUCCUGGUGUAGCGGUGAAAUGCGCAGAUAUCGGGAAGAACACCCGUGGCUAAGGCGGCUCUCUAGUACGGUACUGACGCUGAGACGCGAAAGCGUGGGGAGCGAACAGG
rnacentral:rRNA from 1 species